UUUUUUUUGGCACUAUAAAAAUUUAUUUUCAUUCAAUAAAAAUGCUCUUUAUUCUUUCGCAUUUAUUUCUCUUGACAGUUUUAUCAUGCUAUUUCCUUCUUUGUAUUUCCUAAUUAAGUGUCAAAGCUUGAAUUUCAGCAAAGCGGAAGUCCCAUCGAUGCCUUUGGUUUUGAAAUGGUCAGAGUACUCUCUCACGCUGGUUUCCCUAUACUUAGCAGGAUUUCCUUCUGAUAACAACUCCUUAAUAGGACCAUAGAGUCUUGAUGUUGGCUUCAGAGUAGUGCUAAAGAAGCUAGCCACAGAUAUUCUUGGUCCUACACGGUUUGCCACCACCCUAUG
rnacentral:misc_RNA from 1 species